CCAAAGUGGAGCGCUCUAGUUGGCGGAGGAGGUGGGUGAAUUUAAGAUUCUCUUCGCUACACAGAGGAUAUGGACAUCACUGCCUGCGACCAAUCUAUGCGUUGACUCUACGCCAUCCACAGGAGAAGAAUAGCUCACAAACUCGCACCCACUCCAGCUAAAACAAGAGACUAGACUAGAUUGUGAACAUGGAACAUCCGAAUUAUUGACAUUUGUCGAAUCCCUUGCGGAAUAGAUUGGUCUUCUGUAAACAUUUUUGAACGGAUAAGUAAACAACAAACAGCGGUUCUUUCGAACGACGACGCGAUACGGAAAAUAUUGCCUAAACAUUCAUUUAGAGCGCAUGGGGCAGAUCAGCUUGGUACAUUAGCGGAAAAAGAAGAACCUAUUGGAGGAGCGUCCAGAGUAAGUGGAAACCGAAGUAGAAGCGAAUAAUCUGGAAGAACGUGUUGCCCAAGUGACAUUAGGACUACCAGCGGUCAUCGAACUGAAAGAUUAAUCAACAGCCCAACAGAACAAAGAUGUGAAUGUAUAUGCCAAGAAAAAGUUGAAAAUGAACCUUUCGAGCAUAAUGUUUCCGGCAAGUUAAGCGAUUCUCCUCAAUCAACUGUGCUGACUACAAACUUACUAAGAAACCUGCUUGGGAAAACUGAGUUUGGAAAAAAAAUAUUACCAAAGCAAAUUUAGAGGAGCUGUCGGAAUCGAAACAGUUAGGCCUUGUUCUCACUGCAGCGGGGCGUUAGUGUGGCUUGGGCGGGGCGUGUUCUUACCGAUGUGUUCAUACCAGGCUGACGUGUCGUGAGCGUGGUUUUGGCGUGUUGCUGGCGUGCAAACGAAAACACUUCACGCCGGCGAUAUUUGUAUUUCUCCGCUUUUCUCUUGCAUAUGUUUGUUUGUAGUAGUGACAUAAUUUUAAUUUUUCGCGUUUUUUUUAGUUUUUACGUUUUUCACCGUCCGAUUUAUAUGAGGGUUUUAGAAAAAUUAUAAAAAAAUGAUUAGGUAAGGUUCAGUGCUACGUGUUUUAUGCAUUCAAGUAACAACAAGUAAUAACUUUCAUUCAAAUUUUAGGGAUUUAAAAUUCUCUUGGGCCCACUAACCUGAUAGAGAGUAAAUUUUCUCACAAACAUAGAUUUUAACACAAGAUGUCGCACAGUAUCUUAGACACCACGAAUGAUAGUGUCCCUGCCCUAUUACAGAAAUGAUGGAGCGAGAUCAGAAAAUCCGGAUAUGCAUCAUUAAUGCCCGUCAUUUCAAUUUUGACUACCUUACACGAUCAUUUUUAUUGUCAUUCUGACGAAGUAAUGUAAUUAUUAUUUAUCGUGUAAGGGACCCUUUAGUAUGUGAGCUGACUGAACACUGUCAUCGGUAUUUUGUGCAGUACGAAGUUUUAUCGGUAGCGCGAGUAAUAGAUGUAAUUAUUAAGUUUUCUGU